UAUCACUUAAAGCGAUUCAGCGGGUUACGAUUGACGGAGCGAAGCGACGUCAAAGCGUAUACAAAGUCGAGUCGGUUUAAGGAUACGUUCGUUGGGUAGGGGAGCGUUCUGUAAGCCUGUGAAGGUGUCCUGUGAGGGAUGCUGGAGGUAUCAGAAGUGCGAAUGCUGACAUAAGUAACGAUAAAGCGGGUGAAAAGCCCGCUCGCCGGAAGACCAAGGGUUCCUGUCCAACGUUAAUCGGGGCAGGGUGAGUCGACCCCUAAGG
rnacentral:rRNA from 1 species